AUUGAACGCUGGCGGCAUGCCUUACACAUGCAAGUCGAACGGCAGCACGGGAGCAAUCCUGGUGGCGAGUGGCGAACGGGUGAGUAAUGUAUCGGAACGUGCCCAGUCGUGGGGGAUAACGCAGCGAAAGCUGUGCUAAUACCGCAUACGAUCUAUGUAUGAAAGCGGGGGAUCGCAAGACCUCGCGCGAUUGGAGUGGCCGAGAUCAGAUUAGCUAGUUGGUGGGGUAAAAGCUUACCAAGGCGACGAUCUGUAGCUGGUCUGAGAGGACGACCAGCCACACUGGAACUGAGAAACGGUCCAGACUCCUACGGGAGGCAGCAGUGGGGAAUUUUGGACAAUGGGCGCAAGCCUGAUCCAGCAAUGCCGCGUGCAGGAUGAAGGCCUUCGGGUUGUAAACUGCUUUUGUACGGAGCGAAAAGGCUCUCUCUAAUACAGGGGGCUCAUGACGGUACCGUAAGAAUAAGCACCGGCUAACUACGUGCCAGCCGCCGCAGUAAUAC
rnacentral:rRNA from 1 species